UACAGAGGUGGCAAGCGUUGUUCGGAAUUACUGGGCGUAAAGGGCGUGUAGGCGGCCUUUUAAGUCAGACGUGAAAUCCCCCGGCUUAACCUGGGAACUGCGUCUGAUACUGGAAGGCUAGAGUAUGGGAGAGGGAUGUAGAAUUCCAGGUGUAGCGGUGAAAUGCGUAGAUAUCUGGAGGAAUACCGGUGGCGAAGGCGGCAUCCUGGACCAUUACUGACGCUGAUACGCGAAAGCUAGGGGAGCAAACGGG
rnacentral:rRNA from 1 species